AAUCACUAGUGAAGGACCCGCGCGUUGCGGCGGGACGAUUCCGUAAAAAUAAAUAAAUAAAAAAAUAAAAAAAUCAAAGAAUUAUAUAAAAAAAUAACUGAGGGAUAAACAAAUAUUACUGCAAUAAAAAUAUAAAAAUAAUAGGGCAAAAACCAUAUGAAUAAUUGAUUAUAUUUAUAGCAGCAAUAAACGUUGAGUAAUAAAAUGAUAUAUCUCAUAUUUCAAGUAAGAAAUUACAACUAAUUAAAGUUUGAGGAUAAAAGCAUCACAUGCCUCAUAGUUUAAAUUAGAAAAAACUUUAAAAACCCCCCCUGUGGUUUCGUAGUUUUUCACUUUGCCCCCUUGUGGUUUAAAAUGUUCAAAUUGCCCUCUGUGGUUUCGUUUUUAUCUUUUCGGUAGCUUUUUCGUUAAUAUUUCAUUAAAUUAUAUACAAAAAACUUCUUAUACCUAUCUAGAUUUAUCAAAUAUUUACUUUAGUACCCUUUAAAUUAACUUUAUCACUGAUUUAAGAAAAAAAAAUAAUGAAAUUGAUAAGAAAAAGAGAAAAAAGAAACCACAGGGGGGCAAAUUGAUACAUUUUAAACCACAGGGGGGCAAAGUGAGAAACUACGAAACCACAAGGGGGUUUUUGAAGUUUUUCCUUUAAAUUAUAACACAUUAAAAUUCGAUGAUUAAAGUUUCACUCGUCUUAUAAUUUUAAAGACGAAAAGUAUAAAUAUAAUCUUUCAAAAUUUUACUUUUGUUGUCAAAUUUUUCUAUAUAUGAGAUUUCAGUCCAUCAAUAAUACUUUAACUCUCUCUCCUCUAGUGAUUUAGGGUUUGGCUUAGAUUUUUUUAAGAAAAAAAAUUCAAACCAAUUCUCCUCUCUCUCAUAGAAAAUUAAAAUUUAUAUUUAAUACAUACAAUUUAAACUAUUUAAAAAUACGAAUAUAUUUUAAAUUUUUAUAAUAAGGUAGAAAAAUUAUAUUAAAAAUUUUAAAAAGUUUGCUUUUCAAAAUUAAUAGAAAAAGAAUUAAAAAUAAAAAAGUUUAAAAAAAU
rnacentral:lncRNA from 1 species